GGAGUGGAUGGAGAAGGAAAAAGGAUUUUAAGAAAUCUGGCUGUGGAUAGUGGCUUAGGGGCUUGUAAAUGGAAUGAUUUGGGGGAGAGUAAAGGCCCACCCAAAGACUUACACGUUCUAGUCUUGGGAACCAGUAAAUUCCCUACCUUAGAUGGCAAAAGCGACUUUGCAAAUGUGAUUAAAGAGACAUGCAAUGAGAAGGACUCCAGUGGCUGUUGCUGGCUUUAAAGAUGGAGGAAGGGGACGCGAACCAAAGAAUUCCCGCAGCCUCCAGCAGCAGAAAAGCUGUGGAAAUGGGUUCUCCCAAAUCUCCACAAAGGAACCAAGCCCUGCUGACUCCUUCAUGUGAAUUCAGUGAGACCCGUGUGGGACUUCUGAUCUCCAGAACAGUCAAAUAAUAAACUACCUAUCCAUCUCUUAGGAUAUUAAAGUAGGCUCUUAAUGAAUGUUUAAUGGAAGAAUGAAUUAAAAAAGGAAGUGGAUUAAACUAAUUCACAGUAAACUGCAAA